UACGUAGGUGGCAAGCGUUGUCCGGAAUUACUGGGCGUAAAGCGCGUGUAGGCGGCCAUCUAAGUCGGGCGUGAAAUCCCACGGCUCAACCGUGGAAGUGCACUCGAAACUGGAUGGCUAGAGUCCUGGAGAGGAAGGUGGAAUGCUUGGUGUAGAGGUGAAAUUCGUAGAUAUCAAGCGGAACACCGGUGGCGAAGGCGGCGACCUGGGUAGAUACUGACGCUGAGGCGCGAAAGCGUGGGGAGCAAACAGG
rnacentral:rRNA from 1 species